CAGAUUUGGCUACAGGCGAAGUGUUGUGGCUAGAGGCAGCUAUUCCAGCAAACUUAUAAUUGGUUACAUGGAUGAACCUCGGACAGCAUGUCACUUCUGUGUUAUGGUGCUCUCUGUGGCUACGCCUCAUGAGUAAUUUUCCAUUGUGUUGGCCUCAUAAGUUGUGUUUUUACAGUAUUGCUAUUUCAAAUUUGCUUCGUGUAGUUCGGCCGCCAGUGAAGAUGUGCGACACAACCUUCUUCAGGGGGCUGGCUGCAUCGGCGGCAGUGGAGGCGCAGGUAUGAAUUAUCAGCCGUGACAUUAAUCGGUGAGUGUAGUCAGCAACAAAAGGGGAGGAUGAUAUGAGGAAGUAUCUUGGUGUUUGAUUCGCUAGAUGCAAGGUUGUCCAUGCAAGCAAAAUACAGAACACAAUCUUAUUUAGUCAUAGAAGCUAUCAUUGCUUAUAGAACAACAGACUAUUGUGUAAAUUGAUUACGGAAUAUAAUUUGAUUUGGUAAUUGAAAAUUUCGAGAAUUGUAUGUGCAAGGGAGGGCCUGCGAGGAUGUUUGUGGAGGGUGAGGCUGACGGAUGGGUCGUGGUACCAGUAGCCGUUCCCCCUCCCUGGACGCUGCUGGUUGGUACUGUCUACUCCGAUGAGGAGAAACUCCGGCUGGUGGCACACGAUUUUUUCCUUAUGCGCUAGAGAGUAUGUGCAAAUUGGAUUCUAUAUGUUCACUACCUACUACUGAUUCUGAAGGUGCAAUCAUUUCAGGUUUAAGCGGCAUGGCAUGUUCACACUGUCCCCUGCUUUAUUAGGAGAUCUCAUGCCAUGUCUUUCUCACUCCAACAUUAUAUAUUUUAGUUAUCUUAUGAUGUAACACUUGAUUUUGGAAAUUCAAACUUAAUAUGUCGUUUUCUCUACCACGUUAGUGAACAAUAUAUCCAGGUUUGCCUGAUAAUGUUAAUGUGUACAUGCAGGAUUCUUAUAUCUAAAAUAUUCUCUGUCAGUACUGGUGGAAAACUUGUGGUAUGUAGAGGUGUAAUCUUUUGGAAUGUAAUUAUCAUGAUUGUUUCCUGCAGAGUUUUUCUCUUUGAUAUAAUAAAUGCAGUACCAUUUUGUUUUGUGGUUUUAAGAGUAAUGUUUAAAGUCUAAUUGCAUUCCUCUUUCAUGAACAAUUCACAAUGACAUCUUCAGGCGCUACUGGGCUUCGGUUAGUUCAAGCUGCAAUUGGGCAAUUAUACAAGUUCACCCUUAUAUAACUCCUUUUGGAUCCGUAUAACCAGAUCAAGUUAAUAUGAUGCUCCUUGCUUCUACUUCUGAAUUUCUUCAUCACCGUUGUAUUUUGUUUUCAUUUUGACCUAUAAAAAAUGAUAUCUUACUAUUUUUGUUGUUGCAAAGUUAGCUGAACCAUAGAUAUAGCCAUUCCCAUAUGGUGCUGAUAGUAUUGUGCUGCAAGUUUGCAUGUUCAUGAAAGAGGAAUUUAGAGCAUCCUAGGAAGGGUUCUUAUAUCCAAAAUAUUCUCUGUCAGUACUGGUGGAAAACUUGAGGUAUGUAGAGGUGUAAUCUUUUGGAAUGUAAUUCUCAUGAUUGUUUCCUGCAGAGUUUUUCUCUUUGAUAUAAUAAAUGCAUUACCAUUUAGUUUUGUAGUUUUAAGAGUAAUGUUUAAAGUGUAAUUGUAUUCCUCUUUCAUGAACAAUUCACAAGGCCUCCUCGAUCCCUCUUGCCCCUCUCGGAAGCGGUGCCCUCCUCCCUCUUGCCCUUCUCUGACGCUCAAGACGGAAAGCCGCUCUACCUUACCCCUGUCGCCGUCCUUCCUUUCUUUCAAAUUCCCGUGCCAGAGAUGCAAAAUCUCCCGUCACCGCCCCUUCUUCAUGCUUAUUGGAUGAUGCCCUGACUGAGUUAGGAUGAACUCAGAUGAUGCAAUUUUUAGCGGAUUCUCUCCUGUGCGCAGUUCCUGUUUUGGUCUGUGAUCUGUAUUCGUUCUCCGUUUCAAUUGAGCGUCCAUCAAUGUCUGCUCAGGUAGGCCUUCUGCUUCUUAUUCCGUUCUUCUUCUUUUCCUGGCACACUUGAGAUUCUUAUAUUCACGAGAAAUUACAUGCGCUUUUGAGUUGGAUUGUUCACCUUUAGAUUCCCACUACACAAUAUACCUUCCUAUGCUAAAAAUUCCUACUUUUAUGCAGGUCAGGAAAGAAAAGAUGCAUGUUGGUCGAGGAUAUGUAAUCCUAGAGCUAUCAAUAGAAAAUUCUGGAAGGCUUGCAUUGCAUAUAUAUGGGAAUACAGGGAGAAGACACGACUAAAUAUAUAUAUAUGAGCUGAACUUUAUUGUUGUAGACCAUGAGCUAUCAUUUUGUUCUUCUAUCAGAAAAGGCCUAUCAAAUAUAUUGAUCUAGCAAAAAAAAUUGAUUUUCUGCAUUACCAGUGUUCCUUUGCAUGUUUUUUCAUAAUUGUCUUGCACAUACGACUCAAGUCUGUUAGGUACAACACUGUUUUAUCUCGGUGUGAUGCACUCUUCCCGUUGAGUGAAAUAUUACAAAUAUUCGCAAAUCUGAGUAAAGAUCUAUUGCUCUUCAGGGUCAAGUGAGAAGACAUGUCGAUUUAGUCAUUCAGAAUACUAUUGAUGAAAUCUUGUUGUUGUACAUUUUCAUUUCUGUAAAUGCACAUGCCUUUAUAUGUGAUUCUGAAAUUGAUGUUCUGUUAUUUCUUACUAGCUCUAAAUUAGCAAAAUAGCCCUUUUGGAUGAUGGAAGAGUUUUAUACCACCCAUCUCGAAACUCUAUACCUAUCGACACUCAUAUAAGAGAAACAGAGGUUUGUCUCCUCCAAACUUUGGUUUAUAGUUCGCCUAACUAAGAAGUUUGAUUGAGGAGUAGACCGGGCACCAAGUAUGGAACAUGUGACUGUUAAUUUAAUGUACCAGUUUUUUCCUGAAUUAGUAAUGCGAUGUGUCUCCCAAAAAAGAAACUUACCAAUCAGAUGCAAAUUAUAGAUAGAAAUAUAUGUUAAUCGGUUAAUCAUCUCGAUUGUAUACCUUACAACUUGCAUUUUCUUUUGCAGAGGAAACAUCAUGUUUGGGCUUCAGGGCAUGCUUAGUAUUUUUUUUCCACAACAGCUUAUUUCAUUAGAAGAUUAGUUGAUGCCAGCCGUCGUUUUAGACAAUAUAUUCAGCUCACUGUUAUCACUGAGAGAGGCUAACUACCGAGAAAGGGUAACUGAGACUAUCGGUGCUCCGAGUUGUUGAGUUCUGGGCGAGUAACUGAAAGUAAUGCCUUGCAGGAAGACCUAAAGAACAGCCAGCGACACAGCGAAAUCUGUUUGAGAUAGGCUUCGUUAUUGUUCACCAAGAGAAAGACCUAAAGAGCAGCCAGCGACGCGGCAAAGUCUGUUUCAGAUAUGCUUUGUUAUGGUUCACCAAGAGGUACCAGCUACACAUUCAGGCACUUAAUCUAGCUAUUUUCACUUAUAGACAAGGUGCAUGUUACUCAUCUUAUUCUCUGUCAAUGUUCACUGAAUUAUCGAAGAACAAUAUGUUACCUAUGC